AGCAUCCUGGCGGCGAGUGGCGAACGGGUGAGUAAUACAUCCGAACGUGUCCUGUAGUGGGGGAUAGCCCGGCGAAAGCCGGAUUAAUACCGCAUACGAUCUACGGAUGAAAGCGGGGGAUCGCAAGACCUCGCGCUAUAGGGGCGGCCGAUGGCGGAUUAGCUAGUUGGUGGGGUAAAGGCCCACCAAGGCGACGAUCCGUAGCUGGUCUGAGAGGACGACCAGCCACACUGGGACUGAGACACGGCCCAGACUCCUACGGGAGGCAGCAGUGGGGAAUUUUGGACAAUGGGCGCAAGCCUGAUCCAGCAAUGCCGCGUGUGUGAAGAAGGCCUUCGGGUUGUAAAGCACUUUUGUCCGGAAAGAAAUCCUCUGGGUUAAUACCCCGGGGGGAUGACGGUACCGGAAGAAUAAGCACCGGCUAACUACGUGCCAGCAGCCGCGGUAAUACGUAGGGUGCGAGCGUUAAUCGGAAUUACUGGGCGUAAAGCGUGCGCAGGCGGUGAUGUAAGACCGAUGUGAAAUCCCCGGGCUUAACCUGGGAACUGCAUUGGUGACUGCAUCGCUGGAGUAUGGCAGAGGGGGGUAGAAUCCACGUGUAGCAGUGAAAUGCGUAGAGAUGUGGAGGAAUACCGAUGGCGAAGGCAGCCCCCUGGGCCCAUACUGACGCUCAUGCA
rnacentral:rRNA from 1 species